rnacentral:misc_RNA from 1 species
CGUGACCGUGACCGUGACAGAGACCGCUCCUCGCGCCGUGAACGCGACCGUGAACGGGAACGCGAAGAGGAGGCCAAGGCUCGGGAGCGUACUCGAUUGGAGAAAUUAGCUGACAGAGAGCGUGAGAAGGAGCUUGAGUCGAUUAAGGAGCAGUAUCUAGGAUCUAAAAAACCUAAGAAGAGGGUAAUUAAACCUAGCGAGAAGUUUCGAUUUUCUUUUGAUUGGGAGAACACUGAGGAUACGUCUAGAGAUAUGAAUUCCUUGUAUCAAAACCCUCACGAGGCUCAGCUCUUGUUCGGUCGAGGGUUUCGUGCUGGAAUGGAUCGCAGGGAGCAGAAGAAGCUCGCCGCCAAGAAUGAGAAGGAGAUGAUGGAAGAGAUUAGAAGAAAGGAGGGCGUCGAGGAGAAGCCUGAGGAGGCCGCCGCCAGGAAACUUAAAGAAGAAGCUGCUGAUUUAUAUGAUACUUUCGAUAUGAGAGUUGAUAGGCAUUGGUCCGAGAAGAAGCUCGAUGAAAUGACUGAGAGAGAUUGGAGGAUUUUUAGAGAGGAUUUCAACAUUUCCUACAAGGGAUCAAAAAUUCCUCGGCCUAUGAGGAGUUGGGCUGAGAGUAAACUCAGUACAGAGUUGUUGAAAGCAGUUGAGAGGGCUGGUUACAAGAAACCAUCCCCCAUUCAGAUGGCGGCUAUUCCACUGGGACUACAACAGCGCGAUGUGAUUGGAAUUGCGGAGACCGGUUCUGGUAAGACUGCGGCCUUUGUUUUGCCUAUGUUAACUUACAUCUCGAGGUUGCCCCCCAUGAGUGAGGACAACGAGGCAGAGGGGCCUUAUGCUGUUGUAAUGGCACCUACUCGUGAACUGGCACAGCAGAUUGAGGAUGAGACUGUGAAGUUUGCUCAUUACUUGGGUAUCAAAGUGGUUUCCAUUGUUGGUGGACAGUCCAUUGAGGAGCAAGGUUUUAGGAUUAGACAAGGGUGUGAGGUAGUCAUUGCUACUCCAGGUCGUUUGCUUGAUUGCUUGGAGAGGCGAUAUGCUGUCUUGAAUCAGUGUAAUUAUGUUGUUCUUGAUGAAGCUGAUCGCAUGAUAGACAUGGGUUUUGAACCCCAGGUUGUGGGAGUAUUGGAUGCAAUGCCUUCGAGCAAUUUAAAACCAGAGAAUGAAGAUGAAGAGCUUGACGAGAAAAAGAUUUACCGCACCACUUAUAUGUUCAGUGCCACUAUGCCACCUGCUGUGGAGCGCCUUGCAAGGAAGUACUUAAGAAACCCAGUUGUGGUCAACAUUGGCACUGCUGGAAAGGCGACAGACUUAAUAUCUCAACACGUGAUCAUGAUGAAGGAAUCAGAGAAAUUUCCCAAGUUACAAAGAUUGCUUGAUGAGGCUGGAGACAAGACAGCAAUUGUGUUUGUUAACACCAAAAAGAAUGCAGACACUGUUGCCAAGAAUCUGGAUAGGGCAGGAUAUCGCGUGACAACUUUGCAUGGUGGGAAGUCCCAGGAGCAAAGGGAAAUUAGCCUUGAAGGUUUUAGGACAAAGAGAUAUAAUGUGCUUGUUGCUACUGAUGUUGCUGGUCGUGGGAUAGAUAUACCUGAUGUGGCCCAUGUCAUUAAUUAUGAUAUGCCUGGGAAUAUUGAAAUGUACACCCAUCGUAUUGGACGAACAGGCCGUGCUGGAAAGUCAGGUGUAGCUACAACAUUUUUGACUCUGUACGACACUGAAGUGUUCUAUGAUCUUAAGCAGAUGCUUAUUCAGAGUAACAGUCAUGUGCCUCCCGAGUUGGCUAAACAUGAGGCUUCAAAAUUCAAGCCAGGAACAAUUCCUGAUAGACCUCCAAGGCGAAAUGACACUGUUUUUGCUCACUGAGAACUUUGGACACUUUAAAAGCUUCAACGCUUUGUGCCAUGUAAUGGUAGCUGAAGCAUCUUGGAUUGUGGCGGCACAGAGGAAUUGAGUUUGCUCUUGAUCAGGAAUACAACAGUCAAGAUUUUAUUUAUGGAAGUACUGUCCUUCCGAAAUGUGGUAAUUGAUGUCAUUAUUUAUACGCUGCCCCAGCGCACUUUAUUCCCUUUAGAUUGUUUAGCAAAAAAAAGGUUUCAUAAUUAUAUUAGUUGAGAAUGGCAUAUUUAAUCUCUAAUUUUGCUUUAAUUACGUGUAGUUUGCUUGAAGGGUUGACAUGAUUUGAGCAUCAAUUUUUGGACAGUUUUGGUUGGCUAUGUUUUCAUUUAUGUGUUCUCUCUUGUAUCACAUUCUAAUUGUUGCACUUCUGUAUGGUCUGCAUGUUUACUGUGGUUGAAUGUUCUUUGGCAUCAUUUUUUAAUUGGAAAUUACUUCUGAGGCAUUGAUGAAAUAAUAGCAAAAUUUUGAUUUAUAACUUGAUAUGUAAAUUAUGGUAUGAGUAUAGAUUUUGUAAGUUGACCUUAUUAGAAAUAGGCCUUCACAAAUUGUUGAUCACUUGGUUUCUGUGUAACUAAUCUAGUAGUCCAAUUCAAUAUUUAGUUUGAUAGAAAAGAGUAGAAGAAAUGUUUGUUGUUGGUAGUUACAAGUAUUAUUGAAGGUUAAAUCAGAUUGGUAUGCUAAAGUGAUGUGAUGAUUCUAAGUUACAAGUUCAAAUGGAAGAGGAAAAUGGUCUUGGUAGAAAUCUUCAGAAUUUUGUGAGAACUGAUGUAGAUAGCAAAUUGUUACUCUCUAACACCGUAGAACAUUUUCAUUUUAUGUGGUGAAAUAAUCAACCAGGCAUAGAAUGGAAAUAAAAUUUCGAUAUUUGUGUAAUAAUAUAUUAUAUAAAUGAGGAAUUUGAAAAGUGUCAAGUCCUCAUAUCUAUUUCUGAUCUCAUUUAAUGCUAUGUGCUGAUUUGUAUUUGUGUUACAGUGACUAGUGGGGCAAAGAGGAUUACUUUAACCUUUGAGGAAGAUUCAUAGGGAAAAAAUCAACAUGUUCUUAUGGUUUUCGU